AUGUGUGAGUGCAUCUCCAUAAAUGUUGGCCAGGCUGAUGUCCAGAUGGGAAAUGCCUACUGGCAGCUCUACUGCUAGGAAAAUGGCAUCUAACCUGAUGGCCACAUGCCAAGUGACAUGAUCAUUGGGGAAGAGAUGACUCUUUGAGGAUCUCCUUCAGUGAGACAGGCACUAGCAAGCAUGUGCCCUGGGCAGUGAUCGUAGACCUGGAAUGCAUAGCUAUUGAUGAAUUGCGCACUGGUACCUACUGCCAGCUUUUCUACCCUGAGCAGCUCAGCUCAUCACAGGCAAGGAAGAUGCUGCCUAUAACUGUGCCCCUGGCAACUACACCAUUGGCAAGGAUAUCAUUAACCUUGUCUUGACAGGACUCUCAAACUGGCUGACCAGUGUACAGAGCUUCAGGGUUUCUCCUUUUUCCAUGGCUUUGGCAGGGGAUCAGGCUGUGAAUUCAUCUCCCUGCUGAUGGAGUGGCUCUCUAUUGGUUAUGAAAAGAAGUUGAAGCUGGAGUUCUACAUUACUCAACCCCCCAAAGUUUCCACUGCUGUAGUUGAGCCCUACAAUUCCAUCCUCACCAUCCAUACCACCCUGGAUGGAGCACUCUGAUUGUACCUUCGUGGUAGAUAAUGGGGCCAUCUGUGACAUCUGUUAUAGAAAUCUCAACAUUGAACACCCAAUUUACACUAACUUAAAUAGGAUGAUAGGUCAGACUGUCUUCUGUCACUGCUUCCCUCAGAUUUGAUGGGACCUUGAAUGUUGACCUGACAGAAUCCCAGACCAAUCUUGUGCCCUGUCCUAGAAUCUACGUCCUCUGGCCACUAUGCUCCUGCCAUUUUUGCUUAGAAAGCCUACUACGAGGAACUUUAUAGCAGAGAUGACCAAUGUCUGCUUUUAGUCAGCCAACUAGAUAGUGAUCCGUUGGCGUCGUAAAUACAUGGCCUACUGUACGGCAGAGAUGUGGCUCCCAAAGAUGUCAGUGCUGCCAUUACCAUUAAGACCAAGUGUACCAUCCAGUUUGUGGACUUGUGCCCCACUCACUUUUAAGAUUGGCAUUAGUUACCAGCCUCCCACAGUGUAUCUGGCCAACAGAGCUGUGUGUAUGCUUAGCAACACCACAACCAUUGCUGAGGCCUGGGCUUGCCUAGAUCACAAGUUUGAUCUUGCGAAUGCAGAGCAUGCCUUCAUGUAGUGUUAUGUUGGUGAGGGCAUGGAGGAGGGGGAGUUCUCAGAGGCCCAUGGGGAUAUGGCUGCCCUAGAGAAGGAUUAUGAGGAAAUUGGUGUGGAUUCUGUUGAGGAGAGAGGGUGAGGAAGAAGCUGAAUACUAA
rnacentral:lncRNA from 1 species